AAGAGCGAUACAGCGAUGUAGCUUUCAUUCGUGAUCAUGUUGGGGCAGGACUGCUACAUGAAGCUAUUCACUCCAUCGAGCUUUAUUCAUUUUGCUAUAUGCAAGGCUAUAACAGUGGCUGCCAAUUCUUAUAUACUGAUUGAAAAAGAAUUA